UACGAAGGGGGCUAGCGUUGUUCGGAAUUACUGGGCGUAAAGCGCACGUAGGCGGAUAUUUAAGUCAGGGGUGAAAUCCCAGAGCUCAACUCUGGAACUGCCUUUGAUACUGGGUAUCUUGAGUAUGGAAGAGGUAAGUGGAAUUGCGAGUGUAGAGGUGAAAUUCGUAGAUAUUCGCAAGAACACCAGUGGCGAAGGCGGCUCACUGGCCCGGAACUGACGCUGAGACGCGAAAGCGUGGGGAGCAAACAGG
rnacentral:rRNA from 1 species